AGAACCUUUAAAUUCAGUCCUGUGAGGCUGAGAAGGGGUCGGAUCAAUAAAAGAGAUAUGUGUGCUUUGUUCUGUGCGCAUAAACGGUUCCUCUCGCUUCAAGGGCGAGAGGAUUUUUUAU
rfam:Geobacillus sp. Y4.1MC1, complete genome.